rnacentral:rRNA from 1 species
AGUUGAUUCCUGGUUCAGGAUGAACGCUAGCGGCAGGCUUAACACAUGCAAGUCGAGGGGCAGCAUGUCCAGCAAUGGAUGAUGGCGACCGGCGGAAGGGUGCGUAACGCGUGAGCAACAUGCCCUAUACAGGGAGAUACACCAGGGAAACUUGGUCUAAUAUCCCAUAGCAUUCAUUGAAGGCAUCUUUAAUGAAUUAAAGCUUCGGUGGUAUAGGAUUGGCUCGCGUGACAUUAGCCAGAUGGUGAGGUAACGGCUCACCAUAGCAAUGAUGUCUAGGGGUUUUGAGAGGAAGGCCCCCCACACUGGGACUGAGACACGGCCCAGACUCCUACGGGAGGCAGCAGUGAGGAAUAUUGGACAAUGGAUGGAAAUCUGAUCCAGCCAUGCCGCGUGCAGGAAGACGGCCUUAUGGGUUGUAAACUGCUUUUAUACGGGAGCAAUAAGGGUUACGAGUAAUCCGAUGAGAGUACUGUAUGAAUAAGGAUCGGCUAACUCCGUGCCAGCAGCCGCGGUAAUACGGAGGAUCCGAGCGUUAUCCGGAAUUAUUGGGUUUAAAGGGUGCGUAGGCGGCCAUUUAAGUCAGCGGUGAAAUUUUGCAGCUUAACUGUAACAGUGCCGUUGAUACUGUUUGGCUAGGAUUUGGUUGUAGUGUGCGGAAUGUGUGGUGUAGCGGUGAAAUGCUUAGAUAUCACACAGAACACCGAUUGCGAAGGCAGCACACUAAGUCAUUAUUGACGCUGAGGCACGAAAGUGUGGGGAUCAAACAGGAUUAGAUACCCUGGUAGUCCACACUGUAAACGAUGAUAACUCGCUGUCGGCGAUACACAGUCGGGGCCAAGCGAAAGC